rnacentral:rRNA from 1 species
GAAUGCUGACAUAAGUAACGAUAAAGCGGGUGAAAAGCCCGCUCGCCGGAAGACCAAGGGUUCCUGUCCAACGUUAAUCGGGGCAGGGUGAGUCGACCCCUAAGGCGAGGCCGAAAGGCGUAGUCGAUGGGAAACAGGUUAAUAUUCCUGUACUUGGUGUUACUGCGAAGGGGGGACGGAGAAGGCUAUGUUGGCCGGGCGACGGUUGUCCCGGUUUAAGCGUGUAGGCUGGUUUUCCAGGCAAAUCCGGAAAAUCAAGGCUGAGGCGUGAUGACGAGGCACUACGGUGCUGAAGCGACAAAUGCCCUGCUUCCAGGAAAAGCCUCUAAGCAUCAGGUAACAUCA